rnacentral:rRNA from 1 species
CCUACGGGUGGCAGCAGUGAGGAAUAUUGGUCAAUGGACGAAAGCCUGAACCAGCCACGCCGCGUGAAGGAUGACUGCCCUAUGGGUUGUAACCUUCUUUUAUAAAGGAAUAAAACGAGGCACGUGUGCCUUAUUGCAUGUACUUUACGAAUAAGGAUCGGCGAAAUCCGUGCCAGCAGCCGCGGUAAUACGGAGGAUCCGAGCGUUAUCCGGAUUUAUUGGGUUUAAAGGGAGCGUAGAGGGGUUGUUAAGUCAGUUGUGAAAGUUUGGGGCUCAACCCUAAAAUUGCAAUUGAUACUGGCAGUCUUGAGUACGGGAGAGGUAGGCGGAAUUCGUGGUGUAGCGGUGAAAUGCUUAGAUAUCACGAAGAACCCCGAUUGCGAAGGCAGCUUACU